ACGCAGUAGCAAUACUGAGUGGCAAACGGGUGAGUAUAAUGUGGGAAUCUGCCUUUUGGUUUGGAAUAACACGGGGAAACUUGUGCUAAUACCGAAUAAGCCCUUACGGGGAAAGUUUUAAUGCCGAAAGAUGAGCCCGCACUUGAUUAGCUAGUUGGUAAGGUAAAGGCUUACCAAGGCAACGAUCAAUAGCUGUUCUUAGAGGAAGACCAGCCACAUUGGGACUGAGACACGGCCCAGACUCCUACGGGAGGCAGCAGUGGGGAAUCUUGCACAAUGGGGGAAACCCUGAUGCAGCGAUGCCGCGUGAGUGAAGAAGGCCUUUGGGUUGUAAAACUCUUUCGUCGGGGAAGAAAAUGACUGUACCCGAAUAAGAAGGUCCGGCUAACUUCGUGCCAGCAGCCGCGGUAAUACGAAGGGACCUAGCGUAGUUCGGAAUUACUGGGCUUAAAGAGUUCGUAGGUGGUUGAAAAAGUUGGUGGUGAAAUCCCAGAGCUUAACUCUGGAACUGCCAUCAAAACUUUUCAGCUAGAGUAUGAUAGAGGAAAGCAGAAUUUCUAGUGUAGAGGUGAAAUUCGUAGAUAUUAGAAAGAAUACCAAUUGCGAAGGCAGCUUUCUGGAUCAUUACUGACACUGAGGAACGAAAGCAUGGGUAGCGAAGAGGAUUAGAUACCCUCGUAGUCCAUGCCG
rnacentral:rRNA from 1 species